rnacentral:rRNA from 1 species
AUUGAACGCUGGCGGCAUGCCUUACACAUGCAAGUCGAACGGUAACAGGUUAAGCUGACGAGUGGCGAACGGGUGAGUAAUAUAUCGGAACGUGCCCAGUCGUGGGGGAUAACGUAGCGAAAGCUACGCUAAUACCGUAUACGAUCUACGGAUGAAAGCGGGUGAUCGCAAGACCUCGCGCGAUUGGAGCGGCCGAUAUCAGAUUAGGUUGUUGGUGAGGUAAAAGCUCACCAAGCCUGCGAUCUGUAGCUGGUCUGAGAGGACGACCAGCCACACUGGAACUGAGACACGGUCCAGACUCCUACGGGAGGCAGCAGUGGGGAAUUUUGGACAAUGGACGCAAGUCUGAUCCAGCAAUGCCGCGUGCAGGACGAAGGCCUUCGGGUUGUAAACUGCUUUUGUACGGAACGAAACGGUGAGCUCUAAUACAGUUUGCUAAUGACGGUACCGUAAGAAUAAGCACCGGCUAACUACGUGCCAGCCGCCGCAGUAA